rfam:Gossypium raimondii chromosome 1, whole genome shotgun sequence.
AUACCAUGAUGAGCACAUUUUCAUAAUAAUUCCUUAAAUCGUUAUCAUGCCUCAUACAAGGACUCAUCAUCAGAUUGCUGAAACGUAGUAAUUUCAUUUCUAAGCUU